rnacentral:lncRNA from 1 species
CUUGGCAGCCAGGGAAGCGAUUUGACGAAAAUUAAGGGCAACACUUCAGCUCCACAAGUUUACUGAAUCGCAUCACGACUGAAAGCGUGCAACAAUCAUAUCAAGUUCAUGACGUUCGAGGCAAAAAUCUAUCAUCACACCAUAAAAGAGUUAUAUUUCAAGGUUUAUUCGAUAUCAUGGAAACUCUAAACAUCCUCUUCUCCUGUAUUAAAGCAGCUGAUGACUUCCUGACUGUUCGAAUUCACUCGUGCAGGGUGCCCACAAUGUCGUCCUCUCUGUAAAGGAGGUACCU